rnacentral:rRNA from 1 species
UGGGGAAUUUUGGACAAUGGGCGCAAGCCUGAUCCAGCCAUGCCGCGUGCAGGAAGAAGGCCUUCGGGUUGUAAACUGCUUUUGUCAGGGAAGAAAUCCUUUGGGUUAAUACCUCGAAGGGAUGACGGUACCUGAAGAAUAAGCACCGGCUAACUACGUGCCAGCAGCCGCGGUAAUACGUAGGGUGCGAGCGUUAAUCGGAAUUACUGGGCGUAAAGCGUGCGCAGGCGGCUUUGCAAGACAGAUGUGAAAUCCCCGGGGCUCAACCUGGGAACUGCAUUUGUGACUGCAAGGCUAGAGUGCGGCAGAGGGAGAUGGAAUUCCGCGUGUAGCAGUGAAAUGCGUAGAUAUGCGGAGGAACACCGAUGGCGAAGGCAAUCUCCUGGGCCUGCACUGACGCUCAUGCACGAAAGCGNGGGGAGCAAACAGGAUUAGAUACCCUGGUAGUCCACGCCCUAAACGAUGUCAACUGGUUGUUGGACGGCUUGCUGUUCAGUAACGAAGCUAACGCGUGAAGUUG